ACAUAAUUCCACAAGAACAACUAUUUUGCAAGAAUAGUCCAAUUACGGUUGGGAAAGAAUUUGUUCCUUUUGUUUUGCCACCGAGCGUAUCUAAAAAGAAGUAAAGCUGAUUUGUUAGCCAGUUAAAUUGAACUUGCAACGGGGCAGCCCUUGAGAUUUCAAUUCGUGCUACAUGUAUUUAGAAAUACGAAUAAAUUUAGUUUUCAUAGAGGCAUUGAUGUGCACACGUGUUCACAUUUCAAGUUGAAAAAAUUUAUUCGUUAGUGCAUUGUUUUGAGCGUAUUUGUUUCUAAAAUGUUAGGUUUAGUACUUAAGGUAAUUGUGCCCGUCCUGAUGCGCUCCAUGAUACCAUCUGUGGGCCGUAAUCUUGUCCAGUGCGGAUCCAAAUCAUGUUUGUCGCUGCCAUUGCGCAGGGGUCUACAUAUGCGACAUGGUCUAGAAGUGAUGCGAUCACAGGAAGGAGCUCGUUGAUUUUUUAGGAUUCUGUUUGCCGUAUAUCGUGUACUUGUCGCUCGUAUAUGUUAUUUUAGUGUGUGUAUAAUUUUCAAAAACAAAAAUUAAAAUGUUAAUCCAAAUGGAA